AGUUACUUAUUCUUCCUCUUCUGCCUUCUAUUGUCUUCAACUACCCCAAAAAAAUCUCCUGGAAACUACUCUCUGAAAGAAGUUGGAGAAAAAUUAUUAAUGCACUUGAAGAAGAUCAAGAAAAAAGAAAGCGUGAGUAAUGUUUUGGCUCCAUUAUAGUUUUAUGAGAGCACCAUCACAUAUGCGGUUCGUUGCUGACCAAAACAUUGCCUCAUGCUGGAGAAGAGUAUCCGAGCAUAGUUGCUGCUUCGAGUCACUCCAGGGAGAUCUAAAAUUCCAGGUGAACCAUUUGCUGCUAUAGUCAAGAUGAAAAGGAGUGAAGAACAGCUAAAUAAAAUCAAGUAUAAUGGAGGGAAUCACCACCAAAAGAGGGAAAAAAGAAAGCCCUGAGACUCCUUUGUAGACCAGGUUCCUUUCUCACCUCCUGGCUGCUGUGCUGACCCCCAAGGUCCUGAGGAUGAGGAGGCUGAGCAAGGGACAAGGCCACUGGUUGUCAUCUGUCUGGGCAUUGGGUGUGACCUCACAAGGCAACUUGCAUUCUUAACUCUGUCUCAGCCCCUGAGAACCCUGAGCUUGUUGGAUAACCCAACCUGCAAAACACAGCUCACAGAUUUCUGAGAAGCCUGAAGAUUCAGGAUCAGGACCAUAGUAAGAUAUGAGUGUCUAGGUAGCAUGACAACAGCCAGAACCACUUCUCAACAAUUGUGUGAUGUGUACACAGCUGCUGCAGUCCUGGACACUCAUCACUGCCACCCAUGACUCUGGAAUUGGGUAUUGCUGUGGACAACAAUACUACUUUGUUCUGGGAAAGAAUGCCCCUUCAUCCUUGCUUCUUUGAGUCACUCAAUGGAGAUUCAAGGUGACAUAUGGGAACAUUACAUUUGCUGAGCAUGUUUGUGCAGCCCUAGGCCUCAGGGGUGAAGGAAAGUGCCCCCUGUUUUGUUCUGUUUUUGCAGUAGGAACCCAGCUCUGUCACUCAGCAAGUCUCAAAGAUGGCCUUAAAUAGGGAGAUCCCACAACAUAACAAGGGAGUUCCACAUAGUGGACAGUCAAAAGCAUGGACACAUCUCCCAUACCGUGGAUCUUCCUAGGGUUCCAAACUCCCCUUGAAACUUACACAUUGGCAGGUAUAAAGUGAACAGCACAAUUGUUCACCUCUGGAAAUAGAAGGGCCACUCCCUAAUCACCAUGGAAAUAUUCCUAAGAAUGUGCCUUUUCUUAUUGGGCAGAAGGCCAGAUAUCUUUUUUUAUCAGUUUUUUCAAUGGCAGUAAUUUAUUUCACAAGGUCACCUUUAAUGGGCCUGACCCAUUUUUCUGCCUAUAUUUUAAUCACAGGCUGUAUCUUCAGCUUCUCCACACUAGAUGAUACCUUAUCCUCCCAGCCUACUGUUCAGUGUUUUUAUGGGCACGCUCAUUCCUCAACAAUACUGGUCCCACAGUAUUUUUCUCUCCAAUCACAACAGAGCAUACCACUGCUGCCUCCAGGCAUGGCAACACCAUGUCUGGCCACCAACAUUGCCAAAUUGGACACCACUUCCACUCUCCUCACUGGAAAUAGAUGCUGUAGCCAUUUAUGCCACUGCUGCCGGAGUAAACUCUCACUUCCUACCACCUCCAUGUCUGCUUUUUUCUAUCACCAAUUCUCAGUCCAUUGCAGUGUAUACCUCUGACUGUGUGAACCGGUGCAUAUGCACAUGUGGAGGCUGCCAAGAAGUCAGAGAAACAGGCAUGUGGACUUUGCAGCUUCUGCUGGGAAUGGUGUUUGUAGGCUUAGAGGCUAAGACAGGAAAGUUGCCCACACAACCAUUCUCAUCCCAUUGUGAGCACUGGAGCACCUACUAUGCCCCUCCUUUCCUUCACUCUGUGUUCUAGCCUCAGCUUAUGACCUACAGUUUUAAUCAACUGUAAAAAGGCAAUGGAGAUUGGCAAUAGUAGGGACUUCACCGCCUCUUGCCUGGAUUCUCUAAUCCACUUACUUCCUUGAAAAGGCAUUUACAAUUCUGUAAUCAUGAGGGGAGAUCAAGAAUUAUGAGAAAGAUGAGAAGUUCAGGGGCUGCAUGAUAUUACUGAAAUUACACAGAGACUCUAAAAUGGUAAAUCAAUGCUCAGAAUUUGCAUUGCAGUCAGAAAAGAUAUGGUUAUUCUGGGAUAGCUCCACUGCUACCAUGUUCCUCCUAGAGGCACAAUGUUCUCUAACAAAACAGUUUUUGCUGAGACUGGAAACACUGAUAACAUAUUUGCAGGCUGUGUGUGCUCCAUGGGGGUUGAAAGCGGGGAUCACUAAUGAUAAUUUUUGAACAACCUUCUUAGGCCUUCCUUGUCCAGUACCUCCUGGGAUGGGGACACUCUGUUCUAGCUAGCCAUGUGUGUCUGUCUUUUGGAGUCCAGAGUGAUAAGCGUCAUGCACAAGUACCAGGUGCUUCUCAGCUUGUAACAGAUUCCAACUUUUCUUGAAUUUGAAGUUGGAAACUCCCUUUGAAAUAUCCAGACAAAACCCCCCAUCUUGUGGAUGGGAAAACCGGAAUCCAGGGAUCCAUCAAAGUUUAAUCUAGAAAUCAGGGGCAGAGCUGGGGCUGGGAACUAUCUGUUCUAAUAUGAUGUCAUUCCCUUUGGUAGAAUGUUGAAAAAGCAGGAGGAUUCAUUAGCCUUUCAAAAAAGACUAGUUGAGGGGUUAAUUUGCCAAAAAGCACAGUGACAAUAGGAAUUCCAGGAAAAUAGAAUAAUCCAAGCCAAAAUGUGGAAUCAAAGAAAAAUAUAGAUUUGAGGAGACCCCAAAGAAGUCAGCAACUCAACUAUAAAGUAACCCUCCACAAUAUGCUAAUUCUGCCACCAUCCAGGUCUUCCGCAUCACCUUGGUGUUCUCACUUGCGGUGUGCCCACUGCACGAGCUUUCUGCUAUUCUACUGCACAUUCACAGCUCACUUGGAAGAAACUUUAGUAAGAUUCUUGGAAUCUUUCUCACAGCAGGAAGAGUCCUAAGAGACCGAGCUACUCCUUUUACAAUAAUUGAGACACAGACCGCUGGCAAAUGAAAUUUGCCCCAAAUUUGGAAGACCAUCUCAUAGGCAUGACAACAAAAGACUCAUGUGUUUGUUUUAACUUGGUGUGGUUUUUUUUAAUUAUGGGGGUAGUUUUAUUUAUUUUCAAAUAUGUAGUAGCUACUUGCAUUACUUUUUAAUAAACCACAUGUUCAUGG
rnacentral:lncRNA from 1 species